rnacentral:lncRNA from 1 species
GGAAAAUUGGGAAAUAUAUGAAUGAUUCGUGUAUAAAUGGUCAUAUGUUUGAUUAUAACUCAUAAACGAUGAAAUAUGAAUGAUGCUUAUUUUUGUGCAUUAUUGGUCAUGGUUUAAGCUCAUGUGUGAAAAUAAAGUUUCAUAGUAUGUGUGUAUGGUAUAUUCAGUAUAUGAUUUGGCAUGAAAUAAUACCAUGAAUGGUUUAUGAAUUAACACAUGUUGGUAAGCCUGAUAUAUGAAUAAAUGAUCAAAUUGAGCGGAACGCCGGAUUUGAGUACUUCUGAUCAAGUGACAAGUGGAAAGUGAUAAGUAAUAGCUUCGGCUAUACUUAUCUGAUCAAGUGAUAAAGUGAUAAGUGAUAGCUUCGGCUAUACUUAUCUGAUCAAGUGACAAAGUGAUAAGUGAUAGCUUCAGCUACACUUAUCUGAUCAAGUGACAAGUGGAAAGUGAUAAGUGAUAGCUUCGGCUACACUUAUCUGAUCAAGUGACAAGUGAAAAGUGAUAAGUGAUAGCUUCGGCUAUACUUAUCUGAUCAAGAGACAAAGUGAUAAGUGAUAGCUUUAGCUACACUUAUCUGAUCAAGAGACAAAGUGUUAAGUGGCUACACUUAUCUGAUCAAGAAACAAAGUGAUAAGUGGCUACACUUAUGUGAUCAAGAAACAAAGUGAUAGGUGGCUACACUUAUCUGAUCAGGGACAAGUGAUAAGUGAUCAUACGUAAGAUCAUAGUUAUACUAUGGCAAAGUGAAAGUGAAGUACUCAAUUUUCCGUGACCGUUCCCUAAUUUGAUUAAAGGUGGUAAGUGACAAAUGGGCCCAAAAGAAUUAAAG